AUUGAACGCUGGCGGCAUGCUUUACACAUGCAAGUCGAACGGUAACAGGCCGCAAGGUGCUGACGAGUGGCGAACGGGUGAGUAAUGCAUCGGAACGUGCCCAGUCGUGGGGGAUAACGCAGCGAAAGCUGCGCUAAUACCGCAUACGAUCUAUGGAUGAAAGCGGGGGACCGUAAGGCCUCGCGCGACUGGAGCGGCCGAUGUCAGAUUAGGUAGUUGGUGGGGUAAAGGCUCACCAAGCCAACGAUCUGUAGCUGGUCUGAGAGGACGACCAGGCACGCUGGGACGGAGACACGGCCCAGACUCCUGCGGGAUGCAGCAGUGGGGAAUUUUGGACAAUGGGCGCAAGCCUGAUCCAGCAAUGCCGCGUGCAGGAAGAAGGCCUUCGGGUUGUAAACUGCUUUUGUACGGAACGAAACGGCUCUCUCUAAUACAGGGGGUUAAUGACGGUACCGUAAGAAUAAGCACCGGCUAACUACGUGCCAGCCGCCGCGGUAAUAC
rnacentral:rRNA from 1 species